rnacentral:rRNA from 1 species
GGCAGUAGCCAUAUCACCCUGCAACUCACAGCUGGCAGCCCACUGAAGCUCAGCAGGUGUGAGCCUGGCCAGUACCUGGAUGGGAGAUCUCCUGGGAAAGCUAAGGCUCCUGCUG